UGGGGAAUAUUGGACAAUGGGCGAAAGCCUGAUCCAGCCAUGCCGCGUGAGUGACGAAGGCCUUCGGGUUGUAAAGCUCUUUUACCAGGGACGAUAAUGACGGUACCUGGAGAAUAAGCCCCGGCAAACUUCGUGCCAGCAGCCGCGGUAAUACGAAGGGGGCUAGCGUUGUUCGGAAUUACUGGGCGUAAAGCGCACGUAGGCGGAUUGUUAAGUCAGAGGUGAAAUCCCGGAGCUCAACUUCGGAACUGCCUUUGAUACUGGCAAUCUAGAGUCCGGAAGAGGUUAGUGGAAUUCCCAGUGUAGAGGUGAAAUUCGUAGAUAUUGGGAAGAACACCAGUGGCGAAGGCGGCCAACUGGCUCGAUACUGACGCUGAGGUGCGAAAGCGUGGGGAGCAAACAGGAUUAGAUACCCGUGUAGUCCCUGAGCGGGCUGGCAAGGCGCAU
rnacentral:rRNA from 1 species